AAUUGUUUACAUUAAAUUCUCACUCAGAAUGAUUAUAGAAGGUGCAGUUACCUUUAUAAAUAGUGCAUGUAAAGGACUUGUUAAACUUGUGAUAAAACUCAACUAUAUAUCAACACCUUUAUUCAGGGCGCUGAGAAAAUCCUGUCGAAACUGAGAGAUAUUGCACCUAAGGAGGCUUGGGAAUCUAUUCUGAAACUGCUUCUCAUUCAGGAACCAUUUGAGUCUGAAAUUGUGCCUCAAGAUUCCCUGGACGUUUUGAUAAAACCUAAGUUCGAUUUUGUGGGUAGAUUAAAAGAGUUGAUAAAACCGUUUAUAGAGAAACGUAAAUCUGGUUGGGAGACCGUUAGUUCUACUUCUACUCCCCCUCCCCCUGUUACCAUGCCAGCUUCCUCUACUUCUAUCACAAGACAAGAAAUUCUACUUCGAGCUGCUAGUAAUAAUUAAGUGAUAAAGAUAUUUUUGCUAUAAUUCAAAGAAUUAACUAUCGUGAUCUCAAUUUACUGUAAUCAUAUUUUGUAAUACUAAUUCUAAAA